UAAGGUAGGAAUGAUCUAUAUUAUCAAA
rnacentral:sRNA from 1 species